rnacentral:rRNA from 1 species
GUGUCAGCAGCCGCGGUAAUACGUAGGGAGCAAGCGUUGUUCGGAUUUACUGGGCGUAAAGGGCGCGUAGGCGGCAGAUCAAGUCAGCUGUGAAAUCUCUGAGCUUAACUCAGAACUGUCAGCUGAUACUGUUCUGCUAGAGUGCGGAAGGGGCAAUCGGAAUUCUUGGUGUAGCGGUGAAAUGCGUAGAUAUCAAGAGGAACACCUGAGGUGAAGACGGGUUGCUGGGCCGACACUGACGCUGAGUGCGCGAAAGCCAGGGGAGCAAACGGGAUUAGAAACCCCCGUAGUCC